CUGUUUAUCAAAAACAUAACUGUAGGAAUGAAUCUACAGCGAUUUCUGCUCCAUGUGAGAAUAAAUAGCCGCAGUACCCUGACUGUGCUAAGGUAGCAUAAUCAAUAGGCUUAUAAUUUGAGUCUGGUAUGAAAGAAGAUUUGGGGGUUGGCUGUCUCUGCUAAAGAGUUGGAAUUUUUUUAAAAAGUGCAAAAACUUUUAUAUAAACAAUAGACGAGAAGACCCUAGAAAUUUUCUAAUUUAUUUUGUUGGGGCGACAAAGUAACAUUAAACUUACUUUAAUUUGUUGGCAGCAAAUUAUGCUGGAUAAUUAAAUUACUCUAGGGAUAACAGCAUAAUUUCUUAAAAGUUUGNGACCUCGAUGUUGGACUAGGUGUUCUUAAGUCUAGAAGAUUUAAG
rnacentral:rRNA from 1 species